rnacentral:rRNA from 1 species
GACAGAGGGGGCAAGCGUUGCUCGGAAUCACUGGGCGUAAAGGGCGCGUAGGCGGGAUGGCAAGUCAGUCGUGAAAUCUCUCGGCUCAACCGAGAAACGUCGGCUGAUACUGCCGUUUUUGAGGGAUGCAGAGGAGACUGGAAUUCCCGGUGUAGCGGUGAAAUGUGUAGAGAUCGGGAGGAACACCGGUGGCGAAGGCGGGUCUCUGGGCCAUUACUGACGCUGAGGCGCGAAAGCUAGGGGAGCAAACGGG